CGGAGCGUAGCUCAGCCUGGUAGCGCAUCUGCUUUGGGAGCAGAGGGUCGCAGGUUCGAAUCCUGCCGCCCCGACCA
rnacentral:tRNA from 1 species